rnacentral:lncRNA from 1 species
AGGAAUAAAUGUUUCUGGACUACAUGACCAAGGAACAGCAAUCUCAUGGGAGUACUGUCAAUUUUUGUCGACUCCCCAGUAGAGCAGAAAGCAGUGGAACAGCUUACUCCAAGUGCAAUGUACUUGUCAGACAUGAGCAGAGCUCCCAAACAACGAUUUUGGGGACGACGGUGCAGUGCUGCCUCGGUACCGCCCAUGCUGAGAUGCCCAAGCUCUUGUUGGCUGCGCCACUUGAGUGAUGCCAAUGAGCUCUCAUAUCUCGUGGAAGAUGUUACACUUAAUAAAACCGCAGCAGGAGAGAAGCAUGAAGUCUGGCUGUACUGCAGGCUCGGCCAAGGCCCCAGGGAGCCCGAGGAGGAAGAGGGGAGCAGAGGUGGGACCGUGGGGACGGCAGAGCGCUGA